rnacentral:tRNA from 1 species
GGCUCCGUAGCUUAAUGGACAAAGCACCCGCCUUCUAAGCGGGGCAUCUGGGUUCGAUUCCCAGCGGGGCCG